GAGAUGAGAAUGUGCCUUCGGGAACCGUGAGACAGGUGCUGCAUGGCUGUCGUCAGCUCGUGUUGUGAAAUGUUGGGUUAAGUCCCGCAACGAGCGCAACCCUUAUCCUUUGUUGCCAGCGGUCCGGCCGGGAACUCAAAGGAGACUGCCAGUGAUAAACUGGAGGAAGGUGGGGAUGACGUCAAGUCAUCAUGGCCCUUACGACCAGGGCUACACACGUGCUACAAUGGCGCAUACAAAGAGAAGCGACCUCGCGAGAGCAAGCGGACCUCAUAAAGUGCGUCGUAGUCCGGAUUGGAGUCUGCAACUCGACUCCAUGAAGUCGGAAUCGCUAGUAAUCGUGGAUCAGAAUGCCACGGUGAAUACGUUCCCGGGCCUUGUACACACCGCCCGUCACACCAUGGGAGUGGGUUGCAAA
rnacentral:rRNA from 1 species